GGUGCUGCGUGGCGGCGCGUGCGGGCCGAGUGUGUGCGUGGGCGUGCGAGUGCGAGUGUGAGCGGGCGCGCGUGGGCGUGCGAGGAGAGUGCGUGCGCCCGCCCUGCGCCCCUCCCGCCUACACCUUGAUCUUAUUUGAUCGGGCCGGGCCCCCGCCCGCCGGGCCGGCCCGAGGUGAGAAGCGCCUCCCGCGAAGCCCCCGGGCGCUGUGCGGCGAGGCCUCCGGGCGGGGCGCGUGGCCCCGGGGUCGGCUGCCGGGGCCGCGCUCAGAAGUGAUGAAUUGAUCAGAUAGACGAGGCCGGGCUCGUCCCGGGCCGUUGAUUAUCGAGGCGAUUCUGAUCUGA